GGGAAUCUUCGGCAAUGGGGGCAACCCUGACCGAGCAACGCCGCGUGAGUGAAGAAGGUUUUCGGAUCGUAAAGCUCUGUUGUAAGUCAAGAACGGGUGUGAGAGUGGAAAGUUCACACUGUGACGGUAGCUUACCAGAAAGGGACGGCUAACUACGUGCCAGCAGCCGCGGUAAUACGUAGGUCCCGAGCGUUGUCCGGAUUUAUUGGGCGUAAAGCGAGCGCAGGCGGUUUGAUAAGUCUGAAGUUAAAGGCUGUGGCUCAACCAUAGUUCGCUUUGGAAACUGUCAAACUUGAGUGCAGAAGGGGAGAGUGGAAUUCCAUGUGUAGCGGUGAAAUGCGUAGAUAUAUGGAGGAACACCGGUGGCGAAAGCGGCUCUCUGGUCUGUAACUGACGCUGAGGCUCGAAAGCGUGGGGAGCGAACAGGAUUAGAUACCCUGGUAGUCCACGCCGUAAACGAUGAGUGCUAGGUGUUGGAUCCUUUCCGGGAUUCAGUGCCGAAGCUAACGCAUUAAGCACUCCGCCUGGGGAGUACGACCGCAAGGUUGAAAC
rnacentral:rRNA from 1 species